AACGAACGCUGGCGGCAUGCCUAACACAUGCAAGUCGAACGAGAACUUCGGGUCUAGUGGCGCACGGGUGCGUAACGCGUGGGAACCUGCACUUAGGUUCGGAAUAACUCCCCGAAAGGGGUGCUAAUACCGGAUAAUGUCUUCGGACCAAAGAUUUAUCGCCUUUGGAUGGGCCCGCGUUGGAUUAGCUAGUUGGUAGGGUAAAAGCCUACCAAGGCGACGAUCCAUAGCUGGUCUGAGAGGAUGAUCAGCCACACUGGGACUGAGACACGGCCCAGACUCCUACGGGAGGCAGCAGUGGGGAAUAUUGGACAAUGGGCGAAAGCCUGAUCCAGCAAGGCCGCGUGAGUGAUGAUGGCCUUAGGGUUGUAAAGCUCUUUUACCCGGGAUGAUAAUGACAGUACCGGGAGAAUAAGCACCGGCUAACUCCGUG
rnacentral:rRNA from 1 species